GUUGAGUCACCCAAGGGAGGCUGUGUGUGCUGCAGACGACUGGACAGGAGGAGCGGAGCUACCCAAGGCUGUGCAAACCCAGAUGAUGCCACCAAGGGCCACAGGCACUUGCUGGACACUUGUCGUGGGUUAUUAAUUCCCUCUUGGAAAAGGACCAGCAAUUUUCUGGCAUUUAUUAUUUAUUUAUUUCUGAGACAAGGACUCACUAUGUAGCCGUGGCUGUCCUGAAACUCCAAGUUCUUCUCAAUCUUCCUGGUGCUGUGACCCUUUAAUACAGUUCCUCACGUUGUGGUGCAGUUGGUAGUUUUGUGGCUGCUUCUAUUUGGAAGCUCUCCUAACCUCUCAUUCCAGGAAAUAAAGCCCUAUGUUGUUUCACGGAUCUGCAUCCUGUGCUAGACUAGUGCCCAUCUGGAAGUGGAGCUUGUGGGUGGCUUCCUCCUUGUGAGGCUGUGAUCCUCUCACCCUCUUAGCUCAUCCUACCCAGCUCACAGAAUCUCAACGCUGCAUCUUCCUCCGG
rnacentral:lncRNA from 1 species